rnacentral:rRNA from 1 species
UACGUAGGUGGCAAGCGUUAUCCGGAUUUACUGGGUGUAAAGGGCGUGUAGGCGGGAAAGCAAGUCAGAUGUGAAAACCACGGGCUCAACCUGUGGCCUGCAUUUGAAACUGUUUUUCUUGAGUACUGGAGAGGCAGACGGAAUUCCUCGUGUAGCGGUGAAAUGCGUAGAUAUGAGGAGGAACACCAGUGGCGAAGGCGGUCUGCUGGACAGCAACUGACGCUGAGGCGCAAAAGCGUGGGGAGCAAACAGG